GACGAACGCUGGCGGCGUGCUUAACACAUGCAAGUCGAACGGAGUGGCGAACGGGUGAGUAUUACGUGAGUAACCUGCCCUCAACUGUGGGAUAAGCCUGGGAAACUGGGUAUUAUACUGCAUAGUUGGGGAUGGGCUCGCGGCCUAUCAGCUUUUGGGUGGGGUGAGGGCCUAGCAAGGCGGUGACGGGUAGCCGGCCUGGGAGGGUGGUAGUCCACAUUGGGACUGUGUUCCGGCCCAGACUCCUCCGGGAGGCAGCAUGGGGGGAGAAUGCACAAUUGGCGCAAGCCUGAUGCAGCGACGCCGCGUGAGGGAUGAAGGCUUUCGGGUUGUAAACCUCUUUCGGUACAGAACGGGUAUGUGCAGAAGAAGCGCCGGCUAACUACGUGCCAGCAGCCGCGGUAAUAC
rnacentral:rRNA from 1 species